GUGAGGAAUUUUCCGCAAUGGGCGAAAGCCUGACGGAGCAAUGCCGCGUGAAGGAUGAAGGCCUAUGGGUUGUAAACUUCUUUUCUCAGAAAAGAAUUAUGACGGUAUCUGAGGAAUAAGCAUCGGCUAACUCUGUGCCAGCAGCCGCGGUAAGACAGAGGAUGCAAGCGUUAUCCGAAAUGAUUGGGCGUAAAGCGUCUGUAGGUUGUUUAAAAAGUAUUCUGUCAAAGAUUAGGGCUUAACCCUAGAUAGGCAGAAUAAACUUUUAAGCUAGAGUUUGGUAGAGGCAGAGUGAAUUCCCGGUGGAGCGGUGAAAUGCGUAGAUAUCGGGAGGAACACCAAAGGCGAAGGCACUCUGCUGGGCCAAUACUAACACUGAGAGACGAAAGCGAGGGGAGCAAAUGGGAUUAGAUACCCCGGUAGUCC
rnacentral:rRNA from 1 species